CUCCUGUGCACGGUCUUGGAUCGCCAGAUUCUCCGCCAAAGCAGUGCGUUCCCCGACAGAUCUCCGCUAAAGCGUGCGCAGCGAUGUGCAUCGAGAGCAACAGCGACAGCAACACUGAUGUCAAAAAGACCAUUUUGCAGCUCCAGGGUUAGGACCUGCUCUCAGUGAAGAAGAGAAGGAAUCGGAAGCAGGCAUUAGUUGGCUCUCUCCAUGUCUGACCCACUCUGAGAGAUCCUGCACUUCAGUGUCUGAGUGUGGCAUUCCUGAGACUUGAGCAGCAUCAGGUUUCCCCGGCCACAUUUUAACCCUUCAUCCUCCUUAACUCUCCUCAUAAUUCCCUCUGAUGUGGUCAAAAUGAUCAUUGAAAAAUUCAUACCACCUGAUUCUUGUCACAUUGCCAUUUCAAAUUUCAAUACAUACUGUUUAAUACCUGAUUUUCAAUAGUCUUUACGAAUAAAAUUUUAAAAAACAUGGCAGCAGUUGUAUUUAGGCCACCUUUACGCUGAGAACUCUAAUUCAAAUCCAGUGCAACCAACUGCUUUGUAAUAAUUACAAAGGUGUGUGCUGUGUGUAAUUUAAAUACAGCUGUUCUGUGAAAGCUAAGAGACCAAGGAAAACAGGUGACAGGUCAGAGAAAUGGUUGUGGAGAAGCUUAAAAAUAGGUUUAGGUUAGAAAACAAUAUCGCAAGCUUUGAGCAUCUCACAGAGUUCUAUUCUGAUUAGCAAAUGAAUAAAUUAAUAGGAAAAUAAUUUAAAGAAUGCCGCACCACACUAAGAUGUUCUACGAUAAGAUAUAUUCUGUUUUUCAUUUUUGUGACAGAUCUUUAAACGUGUUUUAUUAACAAAGAUAAUCUGAGUAAACACAAAAAGUUGUUUUCAAAUGAUUAUUUUAAUUUAUUAAUGGGGAAAUAUCUAUCAAAACCAACCUUGGCUUAUGUGAAAAUGUAAUUGCCCACUUUGUUAAGUCAUGAAUUAACUGUUAUUAACAGUUAAUCCAGCCAGAUCUUUAUAAUUAAUAUGGCACUUAAAUACUGUAGAAUCUGUCUGACAAUAUGAAGUAGGCUAAAACAUCUAAAAAAAAACAACUAUUGGCAAUUAUUCCCAGAUCCCAAGAAAGAACAGAUGAGAAACAAGUUACUGACACCCAUCAGCCUGGAAAAGGUUACAAAGGCAUUACUGAGGCUUUGGGACUCCAGCAAACCACUGAGAGACAUUAUCCACAACUGGAACAGGGGACAAACAUUGCCAGGAGUGGCCGGCCUACCGCAAAUCAACGACUCAUCCAGGAGGUUACAAAAGAACCUAAAACAACAUCUAAAGCACUGCGGACCUCACUUGGCUCAACAAAAGUCAAUGUUCAUGAUUCAACAAUAAGAAAGAGGCUGCAUAAAAUGACAUCCAAAGGAAAGUUCAAAGGUAAAAACCAUUGUAGAACAAAAAACCCCACAAAGGCUCCUCUGACAUUUCUCCCCAAAAACCAUCUGGACGGUCCCCAAGACUUUGGGGGGAAAUAUUCUAUGGAUUGACAAGACAAAAGUGGAAGGUGUGCAUCCCAUCACAUCUAGUCCAACCCAGAUGUCUAGUCACAUUUAGUCCAGCAAAAGGUCAACCAUGCUAGUGGCAGUAUGUUGGUUUGGGGAUGCUAUACUUCUUUGGGACUUGUCGUUAUUGAUGGAACCAUGAAUUUUACUCUAUCAGAGAAUCCUGAAGGAUAUGUAUUACUACUAUUUUGUGGCAUGACCUUUGUCCACAGUGACCUAACAGACUUAUUGACAGUUAUAACAUUUGUUUGAUGAUCUGAAACAUUUAGGUGAUAAAAAAUAAAUUAAAUCUGUAAGAGGCCAAA